CGUAAUCCAAUAUGUAUGGAGGGUGAAAAAUAGGAGAAGGCUGCUUUACAGAAUUAAGCAACUCUAUGCUGUUCUGAUUUGAGCAAUCGUUUAACAAGUUGAGAUACGGCAAAAUGCCUAUUCGAUGAGCUACUUUGUUUUUUAUUUAAACUAUGAUUAAGCCUAGAUUUUUUUAAACUCCCAGAAGCUUUCCCAUUUUCUUUGACCAGGCAAUGAUGUUUACCACUUUCAGAACAAGCCAGGAUCAUAAACCAAAGUUUGAUGUUCCCCAUUCUGAUUAAGGCCAAGUUGUAGGAUUGCUUUGACUUUGUAUAAGGAAGCAAAUGUGAACAUCAUACAUCACUGCUGAACACAUACAUAUACACAUAAAGUCUAUGGAGCUUAGAAGAGUGUGGAUGAGAUUUCACCUGCUAGCAUGGUCCAAAAAUGGUAACUAUAGUAAAAAAAAAUGGCAACUUUUCCAAACUUGGCACUAAGGCCCCAUCAACACUGCCAUAUAAUCCAGUUCCUGAAUCCAGAUUAUCUGCUUUGAACUGGAGUAUAUGGCAGUGUAGACUCAUAUAAUCCAGUUUAAAGCGAAUAAUCUGGUUCCAGAAACUAGAUUAUAUGGCAGUGUAGAUCCAGCUGUGUAUAUGUAACAGAUUUAACAUAUAUAUGUAGAAAAACAUGAAGCACAGCUGCAGCAUUACUCCUAUUCCAUAAUAAGUAUUGUAACCAAGUGUGCGAAAUCUUUUCAAGUCACCUGUUGAUUUAUGGCAACAUCAUGAAUUUCCUAGGGUUUUCUGGGAGGGGGGGCGGGAUACUCAGAAGUGGCCCUGCCAGUUCCUUCCUCUGAAAUAUAGGCUAUAGCACCUGGUUUUCAUCGGUGGUGUCCCAUCCAAGUACGAAUCAGGGCUGACCCUGCUAAACUUCCAAGAUCAGAUGAAGGCCCCUUCUACACUGUCCUAUAUCCCAGGAUCUGAUUCCACAUUAUAUGCUUUAAACUGGAUUAUGUGAGACUCCACUGCCAGAUAAUAUGGGAUAAGAAGAUUAUCUAGGAUCAGAUCCUGGGAUAUAGGAGCAGUGUGGAAGGAGCCAGUAUCUGGUGCCUUUGGGGUAUUUAGAUCUACAUUGUUCCUAUUAGAAAGAAAUUAAGAUGGGACUAGCCGCUGGCUUUCUUCUCUACAGUGCUUCUUGCAGAGGAAAUCUGAGAUUGAGGUCAUUAUAAGCUCCAGCCUUACACAAACAUACAGACAUAGAUUUUCACUCUGCCGGUGUCCCCCUUCUCUCAUUACAGCUCCCUGGAGGAAUCCAUUUGCAGCCAAGAGGGAAGAAAGAGUCCUGACACAUGCAUCAGGAGCAACUUGAGAAACUGCAAAUUGCUUCUGGUGUGAGAGAAUUGGCCAUCUGCAAGUACGUUGCCCAGGUGACACCCGGAUGUUUUUGAUAUUUUACCAUCCUUGUGGGAGGUUUCUCUCAUGUCCCCGCAUGGAGCUGGAGCUGACAGAGAGAGCUCAUCUGCGCUCUCCCCGGAUUGGAUUCGAAACAGCAACCUUCAGGUCAGCAACCCAAUCUUCAAGUUAGCAGUCUGCUGGCACAAGAGUUUAACCCAUUACACCACCAUGGGCUCCUAGUUUUGCCUAUGAUCCCAAGAAUUGGUGAUUUCUGUGGCCACAAUUAGCAAGACGUUCAAAAACCUUCUAAACUGUGCUGAUUUGUUAAAAACAGUUUCGAUUACUGCAUAUACAUACUCAUGUAAAAGUAUAUUUAAAAUGUGCCCAUUUUCCCAGACCUCCCUGUAUAGUCCAACAUCUCCUUUAUGGACAAGAUAAAUAUUGUAUUUCAUUCUA